AGUAUUUUUAGGUUUCGGGUUAGUAGGGAUCUGCUAUCAAAUUACUAAAUCUUAGAAAGAAGAAACAAAAUUAGUGCGUUUGAACAAAUAUUUUUAGUAUUCCAGAUCAAUUGCACUUAUGAUCAUUUGUAAUUCCUGGCUGGAGGUUAAAAUUUUAGUUCAAUUGAACACAGUAAAGCUGGAUUUGUGUUCAUUUGCACUAAUUUUCAAUCGUCAUAAAAACCUGUUUCUGAUCAACUGACUUUAGUGGUUAGUUCAAUCGGACAUUAGUGCAAACAAUAUAGCAUCAAAUAAUAUGCAUUCCACGUUUUCCCUGUACUGCAGUUGAUCAAUAUGUUUAUUGUAUGUAUAAUGUAGUGUGUGUAAAUCCUCAAAGUUAAAUUUAACGGAAUUUUACUUCAAAUAAUUCUUUUUUCAGAAUGGGAUUGGAACUUUCUAAAUUGCAUUCCUGGAAUCGAACUUGGAAACAACUUGAACUAAUAAGCUUCACUGUUUUACAAAAUGAAUUCCGAGCAUGUUUUAUUUUCUUUCUCACAACUUGAUAUUAGAUUUAACUCUGAGAAGAGGGUACUCCAGUCCCAGUUGGAUACAUUGCACUAUGAGUUCAUUAGGUUUAACCCUCACUGAGAGAGUAUCCAAUAAUGAGAAACAUGUGGAGAAAAUGAGUAACAUGCUUCAAAGAUUAUGGAUUAUGCUGUGGAAGACGACUAUCGGCCUCCUUAGCCGAUCUUCACAACAAGAGAGGAUUAGCUUCCCGGCAUGGCACUUUCUAGAAUGAUCUCGAACCAGCCUUCCCGGCAUGGCACUUUCUAGAAUGAUCUCGAACCAGCCUUCGUGGCUGGCACUUUCUAGAAUGAUCUCGAACCUGCCUUGUGAUUUAUAUAUAUUUGAGUUGUAGUUAGUAGUUGUAGUUAUAAAGUAGACCUAAAUAUAUACUGGUACAGUUA